rnacentral:rRNA from 1 species
UACGUAGGAUGCAAGCGUUGACCGGAUUUAUUGGGUUUAAAGGGUGCAUAGGCGGCCUAUUAAGUUAGUGGUGAAAACGUUCGGCUUAACCGGAUACCCGCCAUUGAUACUGAUAGACUUGAGUGCGACAGAGGGUGUUGGAAUGUGUGGUGUAGCGGUGAAAUGCUUAGAUAUCACGCAGAACACCAAUUGCGAAGGCAGAUGCCUAUGUCGUAACUGACGCUUAGGCACGAAAGCGUGGGGAUCAAACAGG